GCUUGACGUUUUUGCUCCCUCCUGCUUCACAAGUAUUUCAAGGCAAUAUUUCUGUAGCAGAAGGAGGCAAAAGAAAACUACUGUAAGCAAAAGCUACAGGUUUGAGCCUAAUUCAACACUAAAACAAAGAAAACCAACUACCCUCUCCUAACACCUUUAAUGAAAGACAAUACAGUCAAUCUAGGAUUUAGUUAAAAUAAGAAAUAAUACUUUGCAAGUCUGUUACGAACAAGUACUUUACAAACGUUUUAACCUCCCAUAUCCAUCUGUAUGCAUUAGGUAAAUCGUAUUAUUCUCAUUUUGUAGGUAAGGAAAUAAGAUUUACAGCUGUAAAUGACUUGCCUAACAUGUCACACAGGGAAAAUUGAGGUAGAGUUUAAUAAUAAUAAUAAUAAUUUAUGAGUAUGCUACUCCAUUGAACUAAUCAACCUGAUCCUUUGGCUCUAGCAGUAGAGGCUCCUGCUUUUAAAUUCAGAGGUUCUAGCAGUAGAGGCUCCCACUUUUCAAUUC